GCGCCCGUAGCUCAGAUGGUUAGAGCAGCGGAUUUCUAAUCCGCGGGUCGGGAGUUCGAAUCUCCCCGGGCGUACCC
rnacentral:tRNA from 1 species